GAUGAACGCUGGCGGCGUGCUUAACACAUGCAAGUCGAACGCUGAAGACCUGGCUUUUGUUGGGUUGGAUGAGUGGCGAACGGGUGAGUAACACGUGAGUAACCUGCCCUCUUCUUUGGGAUAACGCCCGGAAACGGGUGCUAAUACUGGAUAUUCACUGAUCUUCGCAUGGGGGUUGGUGGAAAGGUUUGUUCUGGUGGGGGAUGGGCUCGCGGCCUAUCAGCUUGUUGGUGGGGUGAUGGCCUACCAAGGCUUUGACGGGUAGCCGGCCUGGGAGGGUGACCGGUCACAUUGGGACUGGGAUACGGCCCAGACUCCUACGGGAGGCAGCAGUGGGGAAUAUUGCACAAUGGGCGAAAGCCUGAUGCAGCGACGCCGCGUGAGGGAUGGAGGCCUUCGGGUUGUAAACCUCUUUCGCUCAUGGUCAAGCCGCAACUGUGGGUUGUGGUGAGGGUAGUGGGUAAAGAAGCGCCGGCUAACUACGUG
rnacentral:rRNA from 1 species